UACAGAGGGUGCGAGCGUUGUCCGGAAUCACUGGGCGUAAAGGGCGCGUAGGUGGCUUGGUAAGCGUGUGGUGAAAGCCUGGGGCUCAACCCCAGGUCUGCCGUGCGAACUGCCAAGCUUGAGCGUAGUAGAGGCAGGUGGAAUUUCGGGUGUAGCGGUGGAAUGCGUAGAUAUCCGAAAGAACACCGGUGGCGAAGGCGGCCUGCUGGGCUACUGCUGACACUGAGGCGCGACAGCGUGGGGAGCAAACAGG
rnacentral:rRNA from 1 species